rnacentral:sRNA from 1 species
GGAAACCCACCCCCCGCCAGAGCCCAGGUCCCGCCGCCCAGCCCUCCCACAGCCACUCCCAGUAGCUAAUCCUUUCUCCCUGUUACUCUCUCCUAGAAUUUUGUAGCCACCUUGGCUAAUGGGAUGAGCCUCCAGCCGCCUCUUGAAGAAGUGUCCUGUGGCCAGGCGGAAAGCAGCGAGAAGCCCAACGCUGAGGACAUGACAUCCAAAGAUUACUACUUUGAUUCCUACGCCCACUUUGGCAUCCACGAGGAGAUGCUGAAGGACGAGGUGCGCACCCUCACAUACCGCAACUCCAUGUUUCAUAACCGGCACCUCUUUAAGGACAAGGUGGUGCUGGACGUCGGCUCGGGCACCGGCAUCCUCUGCAUGUUUGCUGCCAAGGCCGGGGCCCGCAAGGUCAUCGGGAUCGAGUGUUCCAGUAUCUCUGAUUAUGCGGUGAAGAUCGUCAAAGCCAACAAG